GUUUGGACUAGGGGCCCUUCUCGGGUUACCGAAUUCAGAUAAACUCCGAAUGCCAUGUACUUAUACUCGGGAGUCAGACUGCGAGUGAUAAGAUCCGUAGUCGAAAGGGAAACAGCCCAGACCACCAGUUAAGGUCCCCAAAUAUAUGUUAAGUGGAAAAGGAUGUGGGGUUGCUUAGACAACCAGGAUGUUGGCUUAGAAGCAGCCACCAUUGAAAGAGUGCGUAAUAGCUCACUGGUCGAGUGACCCCGCGCCGAAAAUGUACCGGGGCUAAACAUAUUACCGAAACUGUGGAUGAACCUCUUUAGAGGUUCGUGGUAGGAGAGCGUUCUAAGGGCGGUGAAGUCAGACCGGAAGGACUGGUGGAGCGCUUAGAAGUGAGAAUGCCGGUAUGAGUAGCGAAAGAAGGGUGAGAAUCCCUUCCACCGAAUAUCUAAGGUUUCCUGAGGAAGGCUCGUCCGCUCAGGGUUAGUCGGGACCUAAGCCGAGGCCGAUAGGCGUAGGCGAUGGACAACAGGUAGAGAUUCCUGUACCAGUGCUAAUUGUUUAACCGAUGGGGUGACACAGAAGGAUAGGGAAUCGCACGAAUGGAAAUGUGCGUCCAAGCAGUGAGUGUGAGAAGUAGGCAAAUCCGCUUCUCGCGAAGCAUGAGCUGUGAUGGGGAAGGAAAUUAAGUACGGAAGUUCCUGAUUUCACGCUGUCAAGAAAAGCCUCUAGGAAGAGUAGUACUGCCCGUACCGCAAACCGACACAGGUAGAUGAGGAGAGAAUCCUAAGGUGAGCGAGAGAACUCUCGUUAAGGAACUCGGCAAAAUGACCCCGUAACUUCGGGAGAAGGGGUGCUCUAUUAGGGUGCAAGCCCGAGAGAGCCGCAGUGAAUAGGCCCAGGCGACUGUUUAGCAAAAACACAGGUCUCUGCAAAACCGUAAGGUGACGUAUAGGGGCUGACGCCUGCCCGGUGCUGGAAGGUUAAGAGGAGUGCUUAGCUUCGGCGAAGGUACGAAUUGAAGCCCCAGUAAACGGCGGCCGUAACUAUAACGGUCCUAAGGUAGCGAAAUUCCUUGUCGGGUAAGUUCCGACCCGCACGAAAGGCGCAACGAUCUGGGCACUGUCUCAACGAGAGACUCGGUGAAAUUAUAGUACCUGUGAAGAUGCAGGUUACCCGCGACAGGACGGAAAGACCCCGUGGAGCUUUACUGCAACCUGAUAUGGAAUGUUUGUACCGCUUGUACAGGAUAGGUAGGAGCCGAAGAGACGUGUGCGCUAGCAUACGAGGAGGCAAUGGUGGGAUACUACCCUGGCUGUAUGACCAUUCUAACCCGCCACGCUUAGCGCGUGGGGAGACAGUGUCAGGUGGGCAGUUUGACUGGGGCGGUCGCCUCCUAAAGAGUAACGGAGGCGCCCAAAGGUUCCCUCAGAAUGGAUGGAAAUCAUUCGCAGAGUGUAAAGGCACAAGGGAGCUUGACUGCGAGACUGACAAGUCGAGCAGGGACGAAAGUCGGGCUUAGUGAUCCGGUGGUUCCGCAUGGAAGGGCCAUCGCUCAACGGAUAAAAGCUACCCCGGGGAUAACAGGCUUAUCUCCCCCAAGAGUCCACAUCGACGGGGAGGUUUGGCACCUCGAUGUCGGCUCGUCGCAUCCUGGGGCUGUAGUCGGUCCCAAGGGUUGGGCUGUUCGCCCAUUAAAGCGGCACGCGAGCUGGGUUCAGAACGUCGUGAGACAGUUCGGUCCCUAUCCGUCGCGGGCGCAGGAAAUUUGAGAGGAGCUGUCCUUAGUACGAGAGGACCGGGAUGGACACACCGCUGGUGUACCAGUUGUUCCGCCAGGAGCAUCGCUGGGUAGCUAUGUGUGGCAGGGAUAAACGCUGAAAGCAUCUAAGCGUGAAGCCCCCCUCAAGAUGAGAUUUCCCAUUUCUUCGGAAAGUAAGAUCCCUGAAAGAUGAUCAGGUAGAUAGGUUUGGAGUGGAAGUGUAGCGAUACAUGGAGCGGACAAAUACUAAUCGAUCGAGGACUUAACCAAAA
rnacentral:rRNA from 1 species